rnacentral:tRNA from 1 species
GGAUGGGUAGCUUAGCGGCUAAAGCACCUCCGUUACUUGGAGGCUAUCGCAGGUUCGAGUCCUGCCCCUUCCG